rnacentral:rRNA from 1 species
AGUCGAGGGGUAUUUAUCUUCGGAUAGAGAGACCGGCGCACGGGUGCGUAACGCGUAUGCAAUCUACCUUUUACAGAGGGAUAGCCCAGAGAAAUUUGGAUUAAUACCUCAUAGUAUAUAGACUCGGCAUCGAGAUUAUAUUAAAGUCACAACGGUAAAAGAUGAGCAUGCGUCCCAUUAGCUAGUUGGUAAGGUAACGGCUUACCAAGGCUACGAUGGGUAGGGGUCCUGAGAGGGAGAUCCCCCACACUGGUACUGAGACACGGACCAGACUCCUACGGGAGGCAGCAGUGAGGAAUAUUGGACAAUGGGCGCAAGCCUGAUCCAGCCAUGCCGCGUGCAGGAUGACGGUCCUAUGGAUUGUAAACUGCUUUUAUACGAGAAGAAACACUACUUCGUGAAGUAGCUUGACGGUAUCGUAAGAAUAAGGAUCGGCUAACUCCGUGCCAGCAGCCGCGGUAAUACGGAGGAUCCAAGCGUUAUCCGGAAUCAUUGGGUUUAAAGGGUCCGUAGGCGGUUUAAUAAGUCAGUGGUGAAAGCCCAUCGCUCAACGGUGGAACGGCCAUUGAUACUGUUAGACUUGAAUUAUUAGGAAGUAACUAGAAAUAUGUAGUGUAGCGGUGAAAUGCUUAGAGAUUACAUGGAAUACCAAUUGCGAAAGGCAGGUUACUACUAAUUGAUUGACGCUGAUGG